rnacentral:lncRNA from 1 species
CCAGUUACAGCUCACCGAGGACAUGACCCUAGAUAGGAAGGUCUGGAAGUCGCGAAUUACGGCAGAAGAGUAGGGCCAGAUUGGGUCGCUAGUGUAGGGAAUUACUUGGUGGGGUUUUUUUUUAUUUUUUAUUCCCGUUAUGAUUCCGUAUUCAGUGUUCCAUGCUUAUUACGAAUCUGUGUGCUUUCCUCUGCUUUCCUCUGUUUUAUAUUCCUUAUGGGUGCCGUAUUUAUGUUAUGUCAUCUGCUUCUGUUCUUUACUAUGUGUUUGUGUGAUAUCUUGUGCCUUGAGUCGGGGUUCUUUCGGAAACAGCCUUUCUACUUCAUCAGAGGUAGAGGUAUGGACUGCGUACAUCUUACCCCCCCAGACCCCACUAAGUGGGAAUACACUGGGUUUGUUGUUGUUGUUGUUGUUGU